GGAGAUAUAUCUCAGUGGUAGAGUGCUUACCUAACCUUUUGGGGAAGCCCUGGGUUCAAUUCUCAGUAUAGCCU
rnacentral:tRNA from 1 species